rnacentral:rRNA from 1 species
AGCUUCUGGAAAUCAUAAGAAGUAACGUCUGCCCGGUGAUCUACGGAUUUAACGGCCGCGAUUUUCGUGCUAAGGUAGCAUAAUCAUUUGUCUUUUAAUUGGAGGCUAGAAUGAAUGGACUUACGAGGCUAAGCUGUCUCUACCUAUUUAAUAAAAAUUGAUUUAAAGGUGAAAAAUCCUUUAUAAAUGUGAAGGACGAAAAGACCCUAUAGAGUUUGUAGUGGAGUUAAAAGUUUCAUAAUUAACAGAAAUUCUAACGAAUAAUAUUAUAUUAAAAAAUAAUUAAACACACUUUUAUUGGGGCAAUAGAAGAACCAAAAAAUUCUAAAUUAAUUAAAUUUAUGAUAAUAAAAUUUAUGAUCCUCAAAGAGAAUUAAGAAAAACUACCUUAGGGAUAACAGCGUAAUCCUACCAGAGAGAACUAAUCGAAGGAAGGGUUUGCGACCUCGAUGUUGGACUAAGGGAUCUUUAAAGUGCAGAAGCUUUAAUUUGUAGGCCUGUUCGGCGUUUAAUACCUUACAUG